rnacentral:lncRNA from 1 species
UGCGGCUCAGCCAGGCCGUGCAGGAAGCCGCCCUCCACCCGCUUCAGCCGCUUCACCUGCUUGCGCCGCCGCGGCCGGUACUUGUAGUUGGGGUGGUCCUGCAUGUGCUGCACGCGCAGCCGCUCUGCCUCCUCCACGAAGGGCCGCUUCUCCGCCAGCGUCAGCGCCUUCCACGACUUGCCAGCAUCUUGCUCAACUCGGCGUUGUGCAGGUCUGGAUUCUGCUGCGCCAGCCGCUUGCGCUCGUCCUUAGCCCACACCAUGAAAGCGUUCAUCGGCCGCCGGAUACGGGACUCGCCCUUGGCUCGGCCCGCGGCCCCGGCCGGUGCUCCGCUGUUCGCCGGCGCCUCGCCCUUCACCUUCAUGUCCCCGAUGGGGCUCAGCGACUCGGCCCAGGGGCAGGGGCCCAGCCCGGCCAUCACCGCGGGCAGCGCGCUCUGGGUCUGGCUCUGGUCGUCACUGGCGUAUCCCGCAUCCGGGCUGCUCAUGGCGCUCCAGGCCUGCCCCGCUCCCCUCAACCCUCCGCCGGACGCGCCGCCUCCCCCGACCCGGGGGAGGGGGUGGGGAGUGAGGCACUGAGAUGCCCCGAGGGCUGCGCGGGUCUCCCGGCCCGAAGCCGCCGCCCGUGUUCUGGCCUGUCGCGGUCU